AUAUUUCUCCCACGCGACAUUACUGUCUCUUUCCAGGUCGUCUGUUGGACGGACACGUUGGUCGGCUCCCCGCAGUCUUCAUAUAACGUGUUAAAAGUGGUCAACAGGUAGAUGUCCGCCCUACAGGCCCAACCGCCCGUUAGCAGAGCAGUUAGACACUUUAAUAGAAACAAGAUAUCUGCUCGCUGAAGUGUCACGUCACGGGGCCUCGAGCAGCCACGUGGGGAGCACCGAAAGAAGAAAUGCAAAACAAGUUGACUUCAGGCUGGCAGCUCUAUGCACAGGUUUUACAGAUGACACAUUGGCUGAAUGCGGUCUCCUGAUGUCGCUACAAGGUCAGUCCAAAUGGACCCAUUCAAGAUGUCAAACCAAGAUGAAAUGGUGAAUCUGAGCUGCCAUAAGAUCUGAAAUUGCUGUUCUUCACAUGUGCCCAAUUAAACCAGAUGACUAGAUUCAUGCAGAUGCAAUGUUGACACGUGAGCGGCGAUGUAACAUUGCCAUCCUGCAUAUGUACCCAAUCAAACCAGACGACUAAAGAUCUGUGCUGUGCAGAUGAAAUGGUGAAUGUGAGCUGCCAUAAGAUGUGAAAUUGCCGGUCUGCGUAUGUGACCAAUUAUACCAGAUGACCACUGAUUCAUGCAGAUGCAAGAGGUUUGUGAGCUGCCAUAUGAUCUGAACUUGCCAUCCUGCAUAUGUACCCAAUCAAACCAGACGACUAAAGAUCUGCGCUGUGCAGAUGAAAUGGUGAAUGUGAGCUGCCAUAAGAUGUGAAAUUCUUCAAUGUGCCCAAUUAAACCAGAUUGAUGAAGAUGAAAUGGUGAAUGUGAGCUGCCAUAAGAUGUGAAAUUCUUCAAUGUGCCCAAUUAAACCAGAUUGAUGAAGGUUGGGCUGCGUACCAAAAAGUCUCUAAAAGAAAGUGACUCAUCUGUAGACGGAUCAUGCAUGAGUGGAAGUCUGUUCCCUGAAAUCGGCAAUACAGGGAAUUUGAAAGAACUGGAUCAAGUGGUUGCAGCAACUCUGCCUUUAAGCUACAUGUGGUGACAACCAUCUGCUUCAAAUUUAAUUAACAAUUAUGUAUAUGUUAUGGUAUGAGGCCCCGGGGAAGACCGAGGACACGCUGGAGGGAUUAUAUCUCCCGGCUGGCCUUGGAACGCCUCGGGAUCCCCCAGAAUGAGCUGGAAAGUGCUGCGGGU